rnacentral:rRNA from 1 species
CCUACGGGUGGCUGCAGUAGGGAAUAUUGCUCAAUGGGGGAAACCCUGAAGCAGCAACGCCGCGUGGAGGAUGAAGGUUCUCGGAUUGUAAACUCCUUUUGUUAGAGAAGAUAAUGACGGUAUCUAACGAAUAAGCCCCGGCUAACUCCGUGCCAGCAGCCGCGGUAAUACGGAGGGUGCAAGCGUUACUCGGAUUGACUGGGCGUAAAGAGCGCGUAGGCGGGAUAGCAAGUCAGUUGUGAAAUCCUCGGGCUUAACCAUAGAACUGCAUUUGAAACUGUUAUUCUAGAGUAUAGGAGAGGUAGGCGGAAUUCUUGGUGUAGGGGUAAAAUCCGUAGAGAUCAAGAGGAACACCGAUUGCGAAGGCGACCUGCUAGAAUGUAACUGACGUUGAUGCGCGAAAGCGUGGGGAGCAAACAGGAUUAGAUACCCUUGUAGUC